GGCUCACAGAUUACUACAACACCAGUUGCAGGUACAGGUAAAGGUUACUUGACGCGAGCGCGUUGAUUGUUCAUUUGGAGCUUCUUCUUCUUCUUCUUCUUCUUCUUCAUCGAUCUAGGAUGGGUUCCAGGCCGGCAGCCUGGGAUAGCAAGGAUGGACGUCGUUCUUCUUUUGUCGUUUGUUUUCGUCCGUAGUCGGACC
rnacentral:lncRNA from 1 species